rnacentral:rRNA from 1 species
AGUGAACGCUGGCGGUAGGCCUAACACAUGCAAGUCGAACGGCAGCACAGUAAGAGCUUGCUCUUACGGGUGGCGAGUGGCGGACGGGUGAGGAAUACUUCGGAAUCUACUUUUUCGUGGGGGAUAACGUAGGGAAACUUACGCUAAUACCGCAUACGACCUACGGGUGAAAGCAGGGGAUCUUCGGACCUUGCGCGAUUGAAUGAGCCGAUGUCGGAUUAGCUAGUUGGCGGGGUAAAGGCCCACCAAGGCGACGAUCCGUAGCUGGUCUGAGAGGAUGAUCAGCCACACUGGAACUGAGACACGGUCCAGACUCCUACGGGAGGCAGCAGUGGGGAAUAUUGGACAAUGGGCGCAAGCCUGAUCCAGCCAUACCGCGUGGGUGAAGAAGGCCUUCGGGUUGUAGAGCCCUUUUGUUGGGAAAGAAAAGCAGCAGGUUAAUACCCCGCUGUUCUGACGGUACCCAAAGAAUAAGCACCGGCUAACUUCGUG